rnacentral:rRNA from 1 species
UACGUAGGGUGCGAGCGUUGUCCGGAAUUAUUGGGCGUAAAGAGCUCGUAGGCGGUUUGUCGCGUCGGCCGUGAAAACUUGGGGCUUAGCCCCAAGCCUGCGGUCGAUACGGGCAGACUUGAGUUCGGCAGGGGAGACUGGAAUUCCUGGUGUAGCGGUGAAAUGCGCAGAUAUCAGGAGGAACACCGGUGGCGAAGGCGGGUCUCUGGGCCGAUACUGACGCUGAGGCGCGAAAGCUAGGGGAGCAAACGGG